rnacentral:tRNA from 1 species
GCCGAAGUGGCGGAAUUGGCAGACGCACUUGACUCAAAAUCAAGCGGGUUCACGCUCGUGCCGGUUCGAGUCCGGCCUUCGGCA